AUUGAACGCUGGCGGCAUGCCUUACACAUGCAAGUCGAACGGCAGCGCGGGAGCAAUCCUGGCGGCGAGUGGCGAACGGGUGAGUAAUACAUCGGAACGUGCCCAAUCGUGGGGGAUAACGCAGCGAAAGCUGUGCUAAUACCGCAUACGAUCUACGGAUGAAAGCAGGGGAUCGCAAGACCUUGCGCGAAUGGAGCGGCCGAUGGCAGAUUAGGUAGUUGGUGAGGUAAAGGCUCACCAAGCCUUCGAUCUGUAGCUGGUCUGAGAGGACGACCAGCCACACUGGGACUGAGACACGGCCCAGACUCCUACGGGAGGCAGCAGUGGGGAAUUUUGGACAAUGGGCGCAAGCCUGAUCCAGCCAUGCCGCGUGCAGGAUGAAGGCCUUUCGGGUUGUAAACUGCUUUUGUACGGAACGAAACGGCUCUUUCUAAUAAAGAGGGCUAAUGACGGUACCGUAAGAAUAAGCACCGCUAACAC
rnacentral:rRNA from 1 species